GUCACCUUGCUGUUCCUACCUGUGUGUCAGGAGAGCAUGCACAACUGCUGCUAUAUGGGAACACUCUUCAGGUUCCCUAUAAAUUACAUGAGUACAUUUUGUUUUAUACGUUAGGGCAGUGGGUCUGUGAUCGUAGGUGAAGGAGGCUCGUUCUUUCAAAGAGGUUUUCAGAAUAUCAGGAGUCAGAGACCAAUUAAAGGCAGAAGAAAAUGAGAUACAACAAUCAGCAGGAAAUGGCAUGGUCAAGACAAUAGACAGGGGCUGUAGGUUCAAACCCCACAGGAGGAGCCUAUGCCAUUGAUGAGGAUGCAGUAAACACAGACACCUUUGUGUUCACAGAGGAUGAUGCAGAACGAAUUGGGAACACCA